AAAAGCAAAAUUUCCUCGCCUGGGCUGCCUUGCAUCUGUUUCAAUAUGUGACCACGCCCCUCCCCUGGACAGUCGGGGAUGAGUGCGCUAACAUACCUGUAGGUCGCUGUUUUAAUGAGUUUUUGAUGGAAAACAAUAAUGGCGUUUGUGCUCUCCGCUCACCUGAUAGGUGAGUCCUAGUAAAUAAUUUUCCACUACGCGUAUGUUACACAUGCUAUUUUUUUAAAAUUCUGAUUAUUAUUUUGCUGGCUAUCAAACUGGCUGGAGAAAUGAUUGUUCUACUAGUGAAUGUCAAAGGUGCUGCAAAAAAGCCACCAAAGGCAGGUUGCAGUGGAAACGCUGAGUGACACACCUGCUGUCAGACCUGCAGGUUUAUCCCUGUGCUGUUCUCAUCUGUUAUAGUAGAAAAGCUUAAAAAGGGACCUUGAAUCCUGCUCGAUUAUGGCAGAAAUGAUAAUCACGAUUAAAAUUCGAUUAAUGGAGCAGCCCUACUUGAAAGUGCUUAAAAAGUGCUUGAAUUUGACCCUGAAAAAAGCGUACGAACCCUGCACACCUGAAAGUAACUCUACAAGUGCAGUUACUGUGAGGAUGUAUUUAGUUUUUUAUCUUGUAAUUUUAACCUGAGUGUUUGGAACAAGUCUGAUCAGUAAACUUAUGGAGUUAUACUGAACGAACUGUUUGGAAAAAUGAAGACUCAUUUUCUCUCAGUAAGCUGAGUGUUGUAAUGUAAAGAGUAAAAUGUAAUUGGACGUUGGCAGAGAUGCUCUUUAUUUCAGGCAACAUUCAGGUUAAAAAUGUUGAAGGAAUUCCCUGACUCACACUGUCUUUGUUUAGAAGUGGAGCAAAGCACAUGGAUCCAUUUCUCAACCCUGUCGUCACUGUGGUGGUGGGAAAGAGUUUCUCUGUGACCUUUGUGAAAAACUUCAAUCAUCAACAGGACCUAAAAACACAUCAAUGUAGCCCAACCCGUUCUCACUCCCGACGCGUAAAAUACUGACGAUUUGUCACGUCCCUUAACUUCUCAUGCUGACGCUGAAGGUACCCUUCCACGUUUUUAUGCGACGCUGUGGGUUGUCAAUUCAUUCCAAUAUGAAGCCGCUCUCGGCGAUCAGAGACGCUUCGAGCAGAGGCUCCAGCCAUCUAUUUACUCCAAUAAUAACCCCGUCACGGCGAAACGUGACGCCUUGAAGUACAAUCUAACUGGAAAACCGGGGACCCUCUCCGCGAACGGGUUUUUCUCCCUAAUUUAAUGCUUUCUUUUAAUGAAAUCGUUAACAUUUCUCAACAAAAACACAUGAAAGUAACACUGAUAAUUCAACAAUAAAAUCGCUUCAUUUUCCAAAGUGAUUCACGAUCUGAAAGUGCGCAGAUUUAACGUACAUAAUCCUUGGUUGGGUUUAUUAUUUUUAUUUCACACGUAAAACUCAUUUAUAGUUUUAUUCACCACUCCUGUUAGUUUUGGAUGCGCUCGGCUCCAACCAAUCAGACCAAUUUACACUAACAGCGCACUAAUCCCGUAACUGCACACUACCCAUAAGCCUCAAGCACCGUUGCUAUGGAAAUGAAGAUAAUCAACAGCUUGGUGCUACCCGUUAUUCCUUUAUUUACUCUAAAAUAAUAACCAGCGAUAAUACGAAAAUAAACUGGCCCAGUGUUUAAUUAUGUAAUUACAAAUUGCAAAUUUUAUUUUUUUAUUUUAUUUUAUUUCAUUUUUUGCAAUAUUUAUCUACAGCGUGCCUUCAGCGACACGUCAACAGAUCUUAAGCAAGGCGAUUGGAUGGUUUUUACUGCAAUGCAUCUUGGGAGUCGUAGUAAAUGGAUCUUUCAACUCACGGUCCAGCGAAUUUUUCGACUCGACACGAGGCAGUUCUUAGCUAGAGCAGUCUGUGUACCAAGAGAACUACUUCUGCAAAGAAAUGACAAAGCCAAAAAACCAAACCAUGCCCUUCCUGUCAGGCUCCAAACACCUGCAACAGGAAGACAUGCAGUGGAUGCCUGGGCAGCCUGAACGUAAAGGAGGGAUUGAAAAAAAAAAAACAAGAACAGCAACUGGGCUGCCUCUGUUAAAAUAAAAUAAAAACAGAAAUGCGAGCAGGGUGGUUAAUUCAGCCCAGUUAUCAGUAAGGUUUCAAAACUACAUGCCCUGGGCUUCCAGCCAAUUCUGUUUCUUGGACAGUUUGACCGAAAGGGCCGUAUAGUAGGGGACGUGAUCACAUAGAGCCAGCAGAUGGUGCUGCAUGUGACAUCCUCAUGAAGAUGAGGAAACUUUAUGAACACCUUCUGAGAAAAUUACAAGCUUCACCUCCUGCUAAAAGUUCUACACCAGCAGCUGGACCAUCCUCUGCUGACAGUGUCGAUGCUGGACCAAUUUAUUCUUCAUUUAGAGCCUGAACCAACAUCUUCCCUCUGUCAGCCUCCUGCAUCCUCCUCUUCAUCUCCGCUUCCUGCAUUUCCCUCAAUUUCUACGGCGUACACCUCGGAUGUCCCAAACAAAAAAAGGACAAGGAAAGAAUGCCAAAAACACCGUACACAGAAGAUUUUCAAAUAUGAAGAGAUAGUAGACAGGAGAGUUGUAAAUGAAAAAGAAGAAGUUAAAGUCAAGUGGAAGCCCUGCUUAACAUGGUAUGUAGUAACAACGGGAACAGACAUUCAUAUUGUUGAUAAAUAGUUAUCACCUCAAUUUGAAUUCAUGUAUUUGGACUAAAGUAAAUUGAGAGCUUUUAGCAAUCAAGCUGCUCUUCUGUGAGGAGCUUGAUAGCUGUCCACCUCCAAAGUCCAUUAUGAGAUUUGGAGGUGGACAUGGUCAACACUUUUAAGAGUAGGCAUAAGACUUUACUUCUUUAUAGAGCUUAUAGUUAGGGCUGGUUCAGGUCAGCCCUUAGUUAUGCUGUCAUAGGACCAGACUGCUGGGGGUUAGUCCCCCCUCCCCCUCUCUCUCUCUCUCUCUCUCUCUCCUCUGUCUGUCUGUCUCUUUCAGGGUUAUGCAGGCUCAGUAUUGGUUGAAGAUGCAGUCACGUCUCCUUUUACUGAAAACUUUCCCCUCUCCCUCACCAUCUGUAAACGUACUUGUCUCAGUAAUGCAGUUCAUGCAUGUUACUAACUAAACUUCUUCCCUGGAGUUUCUGUGCUCUCUCAUCCAGCAGGUUCCGAUGGCUCGUGGCUGCUGCUGUGGUCCUGCUUGACAUCUACUCCAUAUAUUAUUACUCUCUGACUUGAUUUGAUUAGUUUAUAUUACAAUGAAGGUGUAUAAAGCAUGACAUGAAUAUAGAAAAUAUUUCAUCCUAAAAAAUUGUCAUAUGUCACAACCUAAAUUAUCCUAUUUUGUGUGUGGUGGUUGUCGUUGUUGUUUGUUAUGUUUUUCUCCUGACAGUGGCAAAGUGUGGGAUGACACAUGAGAAUCUGCGCAGUUUUACACACAGUAAACCAGAUCCCUGUGUACGAUCGCACAGUUCAGUUUGUAGUUCAGCAUAAAAGUUCAAAAUAAAAUAUUUACUAUACAUUUCA